AAGCAAUGGCUUCUCGCUUUGUCGUUGCGGAUAUUAAAUAUAAAUGUUAUUGAAGAAUUAAAAACUUCUAGUGAAAACUCGAAUACUAGAAGAGUACAAUUUUUUGGGUUCACAACUGAAAUCACAUUCUUCCACCGUUGGGAAUUGAAAAACAUUAAUUAUGCAAAGCCAAUUAAUCAAUCCAAAAGCAACGGAGUCUGCUGCCAGCUAUUUGUUUCCUAAAACGUUUUGAUUACGAAUGUUCUCUGUUCAGUGCAUGGUUAAUUGAAUCAUGUUUAAUGGACAUUCUUUGAAGUUUUUUCUCCAAGAUAUGUACUGGUGUGAAGACCUACCUCCUCCGCAGGCCUUUCAAAAAAAUAAAAUUGGUGGGAAACGAACCGAAAGGCCUGCGGACUAAUUUUCCAAAAUGGCGGGAGCCACACACUAAAUUAUAUUUAAUAUAUCAUUUUACCAGAACAAUAUUAUUAUUAAAGUCUUUAAGGGACGGACCAUUAGAAAAGUGAUGGGGGGGGGGGAAACCAAAAAAAAAAUUAUUCCCAGAAAAAAAUUAGGGAAAAAAAUCUUCCCAGGCAUAGUGCAAAAAAACAUUCCUUCCUUGGAAGAUAGGCCUAUAAAUUUUAAUAAAAAAAAAAUAUUUCCAGCCAUCAAGUGAGAAAAAAAAAUUUUCUUCUAUAGGUGUACAAAAAAUAUAUAUUGCCUCUUAGAAAAUCCCCCCCCCCCAUCACUUUUCUAAUGGUCCGUCCCUAACUACUUCCGAUAUAUACCGUAUUUCGUAGGGUGUAGAUAAAAAGCGGACGGAUAAAAGGCGGACGGCGGACCGCGGAUGGCGGACCGCGGAGCAUUUUAUAAACGCAUGAUUACUACCGCAACUAAUUAUAAUACCCUAAAUUAAAGUAUACCAGCCUUAGAUAUGUGAAAUGAAUAUGUUUUCAUCUGUUUGAAUUUUUAGCAAAGGAAUUUAAUUUAGUCAGCAUUCGAUACAUAUGCAUGAUAGGAGGCUAUUCGCCGUCUUUCGCGUGAAACGUUUGGAAAUAUUGCAAAAAAGUGCCUUAGUUUUGGUGUUUCUAUACAUAACUGCCCUAACACUGCCACUGAAUUAAAAUAUUAUUAACCGGAAG